AUUGAACGCUGGCGGCAUGCUUUACACAUGCAAGUCGAACGGCAGCACGGGGGCAACCCUGGUGGCGAGUGGCGAACGGGUGAGUAAUGCAUCGGAACGUGUCCUUAAGUGGGGGGAUAACGCAUCGAAAGAUGCGCUAAUACCGCAUAAUCUCUAAAGGAGAAAAGCAGGGGAUCGCAAGACCUUGCGCUUUUGGAGCGGCCGAUGUCUGAUUAGCAGUUGGUGAGGUAAAGGCUUACCAAGGCUUCGAUCAGUAGCUGGUCUGAGAGGACGACCAGCCACACUGGGACUGAGACACGGCCCAGACUCCUACGGGAGGCAGCAGUGGGGAAUUUUGGACAAUGGGGAAACCCUGAUCCAGCCAUGCCGCGUGAGUGAAGAAGGCCU
rnacentral:rRNA from 1 species